rnacentral:rRNA from 1 species
GAUGAACGCUGGCGGCGUGCCUAAUACAUGCAAGUCGAGCGAACAGACGAGGAGCUUGCUCCUCUGACGUUAGCGGCGGACGGGUGAGUAACACGUGGAUAACCUACCUAUAAGACUGGGAUAACUUCGGGAAACCGGAGCUAAUACCGGAUAAUAUAUUGAACCGCAUGGUUCAAUAGUGAAAGACGGUUUUGCUGUCACUUAUAGAUGGAUCCGCGCCGCAUUAGCUAGUUGGUAAGGUAACGGCUUACCAAGGCGACGAUGCGUAGCCGACCUGAGAGGGUGAUCGGCCACACUGGAACUGAGACACGGUCAAGACUCCUACGGGAGGCAGCAGUAGGGAAUCUUACGCAAUGGGCGAAAGCAUGACGGAGCAACGCCGCGUGAGUGAUGAAGGUCUUCGGAUCGUAAAACUCUGUUAUUAGGGAAGAACAAAUGUGUAAGUAACUAUGCACGUCUUGACGGUACCUAAUCAGAAAGCCACGGCUAACUACGUG